GGGGAAUAUUGCGCAAUGGGGGAAACCCUGACGCAGCAACGCCGCGUGAGUGAUGAAGGCCUUUGGGUCGUAAAGCUCUGUCAGGUGGGAAGAGAACGGACGGUACCACCAAAGGAAGCACCGGCUAACUCCG
rnacentral:rRNA from 1 species